rnacentral:tRNA from 1 species
GGCAGGAGAAGGGAUCACACCUUCAUUCCUAGAUCAUGAGUCUAGUUGCUUAUAUUAGCAUAUCCUAC